rnacentral:rRNA from 1 species
UACGGAGGGUGCAAGCGUUGUUCGGAAUGACUGGGCGUAAAGCGCACGUAGGCGGGUCCGUAAGUCGGAUGUGAAAUCCCCAGGCUUAACCUGGGAACUGCACCCGAAUCUAUGGAUCUUGAAUGCUUGAGAGGUUGGUGGAAUUCCAGGUGUAGGAGUGAAAUCCGUAGAUAUCUGGAGGAACACCGGAGGCGAAGGCGGCCAACUGGCAAUGCAUUGACGCUGAGGUGCGAAAGCGUGGGGAGCAAACAGG